rnacentral:rRNA from 1 species
GAUGAACGCUGGCGGCGUGCCUAAUACAUGCAAGUCGAGCGAACACACGAGGAGCUUUCUCCUCUGACGUUAGCAGCGGACGGGUGCGUAACACGUGGAUAACCUACCUAUAAGACUGGGAUAACUUCGGGAAACCGGAGCUAAUACCGGAUAAUAUAUUGAACCGCAUGGUUCCAUAGUGAAAGACGGUUUUGCUGUCACUUAUAGAUGGAUACGCGCCGCAUCAGCUAGUUGGUAAGGUGACGGCUUACCAAGGCGAGGAUGCGUAACCGACCUGAGAGGGAGAUCGGCCAGCUGGGAACGGAGACACGGCCAAGACUCCUACGGGAGGCAGCAGUAGGGAAUCUUCCGCAAUGGGCGAAAGCCUGAUGGAGCAACGCCGCGUGAGUGAUGAAGGUCUUCGGAUCGUAAAACUAUGUUAUUAGGGAAGAACAAAUGUGUAAGUAACUAUGCACAUCUUGACGGUACCUAAUCAGAAAGCCACGGCUAACUACGUG